GUGCUCACUUUGACGGCACAUAUACUAAAAUUGGAACGAUACAGAGAAGAUUAGCAUGGCCCCUGCGCAAGGAAAACUGUCAUUGGUUGCAGAUGACAUGAUAGUGU